CUCGGUGCCCUUACCCCCGGGGACCCACCCGAUCCCAUCCCGAACUCGGAAGUUAAGCCUGUGGGGGCCGAUGAUAGUCGAAAGGCGAAAGUAGGUUGGUGCCGGGA
rnacentral:rRNA from 1 species